GAUGAACGCUGGCGGCGUGCCUAAUACAUGCAAGUCGAGCGAACGGACGAGAAGCUUGCUUCUCUGAUGUUAGCGGCGGACGGGUGAGUAACACGUGGAUAACCUACCUAUAAGACUGGGAUAACUUCGGGAAACCGGAGCUAAUACCGGAUAAUAUUUUGAACCGCAUGGUUCAAAAGUGAAAGACGGUCUUGCUGUCACUUAUAGAUGGAUCCGCGCUGCAUUAGCUAGUUGGUAAGGUAACGGCUUACCAAGGCAACGAUGCAUAGCCGACCUGAGAGGGUGAUCGGCCACACUGGAACUGAGACACGGUCCAGACUCCUACGGGAGGCAGCAGUAGGGAAUCUUCGACAAUGGGCGAAAGCCUGACGGAGCAACGCCGCGUGAGUGAAGAAGGUCUUCGGAUCGUAAAACUCUGUUAUUAGGGAAGAACAUAUGUGUAAGUAACUGUGCACGUCUUGACGGUACCUAAUCAGAAAGCCCCGGCUAACUACGUG
rnacentral:rRNA from 1 species